rnacentral:rRNA from 1 species
GCCAGACUCCUACGGGAGGCAGCAGUGGGGAAUAUUGCACAAUGGGGGAAACCCUGAUGCAGCGACGCCGCGUGAGUGAAGAAGUAUUUCGGUAUGUAAAGCUCUAUCAGCAGGAACGAGACAAGACGGUACCUGACUAAGAAGCCCCGGCUAACUACGUGCCAGCAGCCGCGGUAAUACGUAGGGGGCAAGCGUUAUCCGGAAUCACUGGGUGUAAAGGGAGCGUAGACGGCUGAGCAAGCCUGAAGUGAAAGGCGGGGGCCCAACCCCUGGACUGCUUUGGGAACUGUACGGCUGGAGUGCAGGAGGGGUAAGUGGAAUUCCUAGUGUAGCGGUGAAAUGCGUAGAUAUUAGGAGGAACACCAGUGGCGAAGGCGGCUUACUGGACUGUAACUGACGUUGAGGCUCGAAAGCGUGGGGAGCAAACAGGAUUAGAUACCCUUGUAU